ensembl:lncRNA
CCAACCCGCAGCUGGGCCCUCCACCUCACUGGGGGGAGGGCGCGUAGGGUGCAGUGGGUGACACACAGCAUAGCUCCAGGCCACCACGUCUGUUUCCCCUCCAGGGUCCAGCAUGGGCCCCUGGGGCUGGACUCCAGCUCCCCAGCCAGUGCCGUGCGCAGGCAGGGGUCUGCAUCUCUCCUCUGAGCCGGGGGGUGUCCAAGCCGUCCUCUGCAUGAGCCCCAGCAAAGCCGCUCGAAGCAGCCCCACCUGCGCUCUCUUUGAGCCGCGCCAUGUGCUUAUGUGCCCCCUUCGUACAGCUUGGGGGUCCCAGGAGCAGGCACUGGGGUUUCCUGCCCAGGGCGUGUGGCCUUUCCCCUGGGAAUUUCUGCUCGGACGGGAAGGAGUCGCUGGAAGGGGCAAGCCAGGUGGCCGCAUGCCAAAGGGCGUGGGGACGGACUGCUUCGCCUGCAACCUUUGAGCCCACAGCUCCGCUGGAUGCUUGGGAGCCUGGCACGUUUAUUACCGUUGGCCAGGCAGCGCCCAGAGCCGCUCCCUGCACUGGAGGUCCAGGCUGGGCUCGGCAGCUCCAUGGGACAGAGGGGAAGGGAAUCGGCGCUGCAGCUUUCCUGGUGGCUCGGUAGUGCCCUCCCGCUCGCUCGGCCAGCCUCAGGGACCCCGAUGGCCAAGUGCUGCUGGAUGGAGGAAGAGGGGUCUCUCUUCAAGGGGCUGCCCCCGCUGCCACCGGUGCUCUGCACCCCCCACACACAUGGCCCUCUGGCGGCAGGGGAGCGCCAGGAGGCGCUGGAAGAGCGUGGGACAAGCAGCCAAAGGGACAGUGCUCCGGGCUCCAGCCUCCAGGUCGGGAUCUCUUGGGUGCGGAAGGAGCUGCUCAGCCUGCAGGUGACCGACCUGGCGCUUCUCUGGCAACUGGACUCCAUCGCCCAGGAGCUCCAGGACCUGCGGGACCUGCAGCUGGACAUGGAAGAGUUCUUUGCAGAACGGGAGCUGCUGGGACCAGCCACCUCCUCCCACUGGCAUCUCUGCCCCUUGAAGCUGAGCGCUGGGAUGGAGGGGAAGGCCUUAUAAACCAAGCGGGUGAAAGAGCUGAUUGGCUAGAUGACCUGUCAAUAGUCUAGAUGCAGGGGAGGGACUUCCUUUCUCUGCAAAGGGUUCUGGGUAGGGAAGCCCUUUAUAUAACCCCUGCUGGGCCUGCCUGGGGAGUGGGCAUUGCUGGGCUGGACAGGACCUGUAGGAUGGAAGGUCCUGGGCCUGUUAUGUGCUAUCCGGGGACUUUGGAUGGGUGGGAUGAGACGGAGAAGGAGCCCGUCGUGUUCUUUGGUUUGGGGUUUUGAUCCCUCCCCCACCGCCGCCACUUUAAAAUAAAAUGUGUUCGGCCUUUUCCUUUCUUCUUGCC